AUGACUCCCAUGUGGCUCUUCCUCUUCCUGCUGUCAGCUCCCAGAUGUGUCCUGUCCCAGGUGCAGCUGCAGGAGUCGGGCCCAGGACUGGUGAAGCCCUCGCAGACCCUCUCGCUCACCUGCUCUGUCUCUGGAUUCGCCAUCACAACCACUGGUUACGUCUGGCACUGGAUCCGCCAGUCCCCAGGGAAGGGGCUGGAGUGGAUGGGGUACAUAGAUUAUGAUGGAGACACUGACUACAGCCCCUCCCUCAAGAGCCGAACCUCCAUCUCCAGAGACACGUCCAAGAACCAGUUCUCCCUGCAGCUGAGCUCUGUGACCACCGAGGACAGAGCCGUGUAUUACUGUGCAAGAGACACAAUGAGGGGUUAG